CAUUUUCAUUCAGACUUCUCCUCUCCUUCUGUUUUUUUUUUUUUUGUGUAAAAAGAUAAUAUAGAAAGAACUCUCUUUUUAUUAUUUCUUCUUUUGUAGUUUGGUCCGAAGGACUUUUUCUUGAUAUGGAGGCGGUUUUUUGGCUGUUGGAUUUCGAGACUGAUCCACUAUCAUCCGGUGGUUAUCUUCCGCCGCCGUCUCCGGUGAUUGUAUACCGUCGCCGUUACCGGUUUCUCUCUACCGUCGCCGUUACCGGUUACUCUCUACCGUUGCCGUUUCCAGUUCUUCUCGUUCGAGGCCUUUUCCGGUUACAGAUGAACCUGCGGAUCUUCAACGGUUGCAACAGAUCUAGAUCUCUCAAAGGUGGUUGGAUAAUUGGCCCAUGGACCUUAUAUAGAUCUCUGGCCCAGGUUAUCAGAUCUUUGAGCCCAUUGAAGAUUGGAUACAAAUACAGAAAAUUAGCUGUCCAAGCAAAAAAAAAGCUGGCUUCUCUUAGGUAUUCUCUACUACAUAUCAAACAUGCGCCCAUCUAACAAAUGCAAGCAUGGCUCAUCCUAUAAAUACAGGAAGACUAGCUUUUCCAAACCACAAAUCAAAAAAACCCGACUCCUCUUAGAUCAAACAUAGCUUCUGAAAUUCUGCUUAAGGAAUGUUGAGCAAAGAGAUGCUAUUCUCGUGGAGACUGGUGGUUCCAUGUUUGCUCCGUGAUAUCAUGACCCAGGGUAAAGACAUCUGUUGGGCAAUUGCCUUCAUAAGGCAGUUUGAGUUUCUCCUAAAGAAAAACAACCGUAUGGAUAAGGAUGAGCAUCUCUCUGUUCAAUAUUUCAUCAACAACACACCCAAAACAUUUAUGGAAAAAAAAGGGUCAGGGUGGGAUCAUGGACAUUUAUGAUCUACCAAAGGUUUUGUUGGAUCAUGGCACAGUCUUGGAGAAACACUGUCCACUAUCUGAGACCCUUCAAGUUACAAGAUUGGAUGCUGAUGAGAAAGUCACUGUGUACCGUCCUAGCAAAGUUAGAGUGCGCUCCUUGUGUGACAAGGAGUUUGAAGAUGAUGUAGAUCGUUUCCAUCGUUUUCAUGGAAGUCUUGUUCAUCAGAUUGAGGUAGGAUGCGCCGCUGCAAGAAUACCUAUCUAUCCAAGCUAUGCUAAACUUAAAGGAAAGGAAAUUUAUUGUCCAAGCAAAGCAGAGUUGAAGAAAGACGAACUACAUGGGCAUAUUGUCCUUUUCACGGGAUAUGGUUGUGAUGAAAAUAAUAAAGUCUACUAUCAGUUCCAAGAGACAGCUGGAACAUCAGUGGGAGAUCAAGGUUAUCACUACGUUUAUGCCGACUUCGUCGAAAUGUAUGUAGAGAUGGAGCCAGAGAUGGAGCUGUGAGCUAAUACUGUUUGCUCACUCUGCAGAAUUGCUUCUGUCAUCUAAUUUCCUGACAGGUUGCUGCUGACGGAUAUGGUAUACAAAUAACAACAAUAAUGGAAGUUUGAAGUGGAAUAAGUGAAUAACUUGGGAGACUUGUUAAUAGCUGUCGUGGAAGUUUGAAGUAUUAAUAAUUUGGGAGACUUGUUAAUAGCAGUCGUGAUUGAUAUAACCGACCUUAUAUGGUUUAAUAGAUCUUUGAAAUAGAAUAAACUUGAUUGACUUUGUCAAUAUGGUCGUGUCUGAUACAACCGACCUUAUAUGGUUUACAAAUAAAUGAAGUAAAAUAAUUUGGAAGAGUUUGUUACUA